rnacentral:rRNA from 1 species
UGGGGAAUUUUGGACAAUGGGGGAAACCCUGAUCCAGCCAUCCCGCGUGUGCGAUGAAGGCCUUCGGGUUGUAAAGCACUUUUGGCAGGAAAGAAACAUCAUGGGUUAAUACCCCGUGAAACUGACGGUACCUGCAGAAUAAGCACCGGCUAACUACGUGCCAGCAGCCGCGGUAAUACGUAGGGUGCAAGCGUUAAUCGGAAUUACUGGGCGUAAAGCGUGCGCAGGCGGUUCGGAAAGAAAGAUGUGAAAUCCCAGAGCUCAACUUUGGAACUGCAUUUUUAACUACCGGGCUAGAGUGUGUCAGAGGGAGGUGGAAUUCCGCGUGUAGCAGUGACAUGCGUAGAUAUGCGGAGGAACACCGAUGGCGAAGGCAGCCUCCUGGGAUAACACUGACGCUCAUGCACGAAAGCGUGGGGAGCAAACAGG